GUGAUACUAAUUCCUUUAAUUUGAUACAUGACGAAGAAAAUUGUCUGAAUUCAUAAUCUAUUCGGUUGUUCAAAACUUUAUUUAUCGAAUUUGAACGUUGCAUAAUUAGAGUACGAAAUGUGGGUAAAUGUAACGAACAAGUUCUCUGAGAGACGCCAAAUUCGAGUUUCGAAAAGAGGUCAACAAAAUUAUCGAAGGAGUUGCCUAAGAACUCAACCGUCAGUGGUGAAAUAUGGUCAGAAGAUCUCAACUUUUAGACGUAUCUAACGGUGCGGUUGACACAUGUUUUAAGACGGUUUAUGCUACCUAUUCCAGUGCCGGAGUACACUUCUAUACUAUAAGUAAUAUGAGGCAACAGUAAUGACUUCGCUAUGUGCCUUUAAAUGCCCAAGGGCAGAAAGUAUGCCGUAUUAUACAGGAACGUAGCCAGGAGUGAUAAAUUUUCGAAAGACAAACUUUUGCCCCGCCUACCCCGAAAUUAUUUUAUAAAGCCAAAAUUUCAAUAAAAUUUAUUGAGCCUGAUCAAUGCAUUUUACGACACUACAUGUUAAAAUUUUUUAUGCUUUUAUGUCCCUAAUAAAAACAACAACAAAAUGAAAAAUC